rnacentral:rRNA from 1 species
CACGUAGGGUGCGAGCGUUGUCCGGAAUUAUUGGGCGUAAAGAGCUCGUAGGCGGCGUGUCGCGUCGGCCGUGAAAACCUGCAGAUUAACUGUGGGCUUGCGGUCGAUACGGGCAUCACUGGAGUUCGGCAGGGGAGACUGGAAUUCCUGGUGUAGCGGUGAAAUGCGCAGAUAUCAGGAGGAACACCGGUGGCGAAGGCGGGUCUCUGGGCCGAUACUGACGCUGAGGAGCGAAAGCGUGGGGAGCGAACAGG